GGGGAUAUAGCUCAGUUAGUAGAGUGUUUGCAUGACAUGCACAAAGGCCCUGGGUUCAAUCCCCAGCACCAUUU
rnacentral:tRNA from 1 species